UACGUAGGAUCCGAGCGUUAUCCGAAUUUACUGGGCGUAAAGCGCGUGCAGGCGGUUUGGUAAGUUGGAUGUGAAAGCUCCCGGCUCAACUGGGAGAGGCCGUUCAAAACUACCAGACUCGAGGACGGUAGAGGGAGGUGGAAUUCCCGGUGUAGUAGUGAAAUGCGUAGAUAUCGGGAGGAACACCAGUGGCGAAAGCGGCCUCCUGGACCGUUCCUGACGCUCAGACGCGAAAGCUAGGGGAGCAAACGGGAUUAGAAACCCGGGUAGUCC
rnacentral:rRNA from 1 species